UCAUCCAUUGUAUAAUUGUGUUUACACUUAAUAUUUUGCAUGUCAUGGAUUACCUUUUUUUUUUAUUUCGUUUAUUCAUUUGCUUAUAUUAUUUUUAUGUCGAUGUAUUUAUUAUUGUUAUUAUUGUUAUUAUAGCAUUUGCAUGUAUAAAAUCACAUUACAUCAUUUUUUUACUCAAAUUUAAAGAUAGAAUUUUUUUUAAAAAUUGAGAUAAUGUUCGUAUUUAAGAUUUUCAAGGGAAUUGAACCCUAACGUAUUGGGUUCCGAUAUUCUUCGUUAAAUUCGAUAAUCAAGCAUUU
rnacentral:lncRNA from 1 species